GAUGAACGCUGGCGGCGUGCUUAACACAUGCAAGUCGAACGAAGCUGCUAAAAGGAAGUUUUCGGACGGAAUUUUAGUAGACUUAGUGGCGGACGGGUGAGUAACGCGUGGAUAACCUGCCUUAUACAGGGGGAUAACGGAGAGAAAUUUCCGCUAAGACCGCAUAAGACCACAGCAUCGCAUGGUGCAGGGGUAAAAUAUUUAUAGGUAUAAGAUGGAUCCGCGUCCGAUUAGCUUGUUGGUGAGGUAGAGGCUCACCAAGGCGACGAUCGGUAGCCGGCCUGAGAGGGUGAACGGCCACAUUGGGACUGAGACACGGCCCAAACUCCUACGGGAGGCAGCAGUGGGGAAUAUUGGACAAUGGGGGAAACCCCUGAUCCAGCGACGCCGCGUGAGUAAGAAGUAUUUCGGUAAUGUAAAGCUCUAUC
rnacentral:rRNA from 1 species